rfam:Schistosoma mattheei strain Denwood, Zambia genome assembly, scaffold: SMTD_scaffold0010971
AUCCAGCUGACGAGUCCCAAACAGUACGAAACGGGCAUCCUGGAU